rnacentral:lncRNA from 1 species
GAGGUGCACGAUCAUGCCUUCGCCUUCCUGCUAUCCUCUGAGGUACCUGAAACACAAUCUAAAACUGUAAGUCCAAAGCUUAGUGAGUUCCCCCAAAGUAUGAAUACACAACAAAUAACACAAAUAUAAUAACUAGAUGCAAUGGGUCCACAACUAACAUACUGGAUUACCCCUGAGCCCACAUCAUAAGUCUAUUACUCCCUGGCAUGUUCAGUCCUCAGGCUGAACACCGCUAAGCCCUCAGUAUGAGUCUGGCAUGCCCUUCCUGACUCUCAGCUUGUAUCUAGAAUGCUCAUGAGCCCUUAGUAUGAGUCUAGCAUGCCUUCCAUGACCCUCAUCUCAUAUUUGGUAUGCUCUAGGGAUUGUUGGCUACAACACAGAGCAACACAACCUCAACCCCUCCCACACAAUAUGUCGACAUAUAGCAGAUAAUUUCAUAUACAGAUAAACAGACAAUAUCAUAGGUAGUCCUACAGAUCUACCAAACUAGCAUAUAAAAACUAGCAUGCAUAUGUAUUCCAUACUCCACAUAACAACAAUUUCAGGUUAUCAAACCAAUGGCCUGACCUUGGUGCCUUCAACCCGUAAGUACAGUAAGGAAAACUCACCUGACAAGUAGCACAAAACUGAUAAGGCCUGAAUCCAAAUCUCAGCUCACAACUUAAAUGCCUACAACACCAUAUGACCAAUUCCAUCAAAACCCAAUAAUACCAAAAUUACCUUUAAAGUCAAACUUGGUCAAACAUGGUCAACUCCAAGUCAUCUGGUCAAAAUCCAUAACCGACUAAGUCAACUCAGCAGAGUUGACCAAACCAAGUCGACCCAACCAAGUCAACUCGCAAACGACUGAACCAUGUGAGUACGCAGGGUGUACAACAGAGGUACGCGCAACGUACAGAAGCUUCACAUUGACUGAAAAACGGGGACGUUGAACAGGUACGUGAGGCGUACCCUCGCAAAGUACAAAACCUUAAUAAGUUCCUAAUGGAUUAAUCACUUAAGCCCAUACUUUAGAUCCAUGGACCAAAUGCACCUUAGAGCCAUAAAGUCUAACUUUAUGAAUUUAGACGUCUCAAAAGUCCUUAAUAUGUGGUCUUAAUCCAUUAAGACCUUCCAUAAGAAGCAUGGAGCCAAACUAGCUAAAGGGACCUCAUUUUUAUGGCUUAGAACCCUUCCUAGGAUCUGAAAGGACAACCCAAAGCAUCCAACACCAAACAUGCACAACAUUGGAACAUUUAAGGACAAAAGAACAUCCUAAAGCUACAAAGAUGAGAUCUAAGCAAACCAAGCAUAAAGGUAACAACUUUUUACCUUCUGGAGCUCUCCAAGAAGAUGAUGAUGCAAGAUCUACAAGAUUGCUUUCCUCUCUAGAAUCCUUGAUGCACUUCUUUCUCCUUUAAGGACACAAAUAACACAAUUUAGGCUUAAAACUCACUUAUGGGAUUAGGGUUCUUCAAGUACGACACAAAGGCUUGGAGGCAGAAAGGGUGAGGCUGAAUGAUCCAUAAUGGUGUUUAAAUACUCUUUAAACCCUAAAAAUUAGAGUUUUACCCAGACGUUAGUACGCCUAGCGUACAAAUCUUGCUCCAAAAAUUACCAUUUUGCCACUAGGGCUACAUCUUUAUAUCGAAGGACCAAAAUGACAUACUUUAAAACCAAAAGAAGGAUUUGAAAAUACCUGAUAACCCAGGAUAUUAAAGAGAGAGGAAACUAGAAGACACGUCACAUCUUAUGACCAACGUUGAUCCUCUUGCUGUUUGCCACGUGUUAGGUGCAUAAUGCUCCGCGUCCACCCCUACUUAAAGGUGUGCGCGUCGCGCCCCUGCCGCAUGUGCACGUAUUUUUAUGUUUUUUUAAAAACCAUAUCUUUCUCAUAUGAGCUCCGUUUUUGACGUUAUUUAUAUCUACGCUUAGCUACCGAUGAGUAAUAAACCUUUCAUUUAGACACCGUCAACUAAUUAUCGCUUUAAUUUUAAUUUUAUAUUUUUAAAGAGCUUAAACUUAAAACCCGUAUAAAAAUCAUAACUAUUUACGAACUCCGUUCUCGACAGUCUUUAUAUCGACGAUGUUGUAUUCCUGAGAUCUUCAACUCUCAUUUACAUUGUUUUGAUUAACAUUACACCGAAACUUUGAAAAAUCAUAGUUUCCUCAUACGAAAUUAGAUUUUGGAUGUUUUUUAUAUGCACACUCUCACUUUUACGAUGACUACAACGUUUGUUUAGAUUACACCUAUUUCCGUUGAGCGUAUAUACCUGGGAUCCCGAUCCAUGCGCAUUCGUCAAGUACAUCAGGCGUACUGGUGGUAUGUUUAGAGUACUCACCUGGAAACCUUUUAUGGAGUUGGGCCUAUAUUGGGCUUUAAAUGUCUUUUGGACUUUAAGCUAGUUUAGAAUUGGACCAUGUUAUGUUAGGCCCAUUAAAGGAUGGGUAAAGCGGCCUUUUUACACUAGGAGUCAGGGUUUAGAAUCUGGACCCUCAAUUUGGGUUAGCAACCUAAUUGCUAAUUAGGGUUGCAUUAUUGAUCUCUAGACAGAGGUGAGUUUCCUUCAUUGUACUCGUGGGUCGAAGGCACCAAUGUCGGCCCAUUAGAUUAUGUUUGUAGGAUGAUAAUUGUCUUCAGGACAAUUUCCUGUUAUGCCAGUAUAUGCUUGUUGUCUCUAUGACUCUUCCAGUUAUGAUUAUAUGCUAGUUGUAAAGGUGAAAAACCAAUAUCGGUUAAAAGAGACUGAAGGGGUUGAAAUACAGCCAAUACCGGUUGAAAGAGACCAAAGAGGUUGAAAUAUACCUAGUACCGAUUGAAAGAGACCGAAUGAGGUGAAAUAGACCCAGUGUUGCUUUGACUAUUAUGUAUGUACGGUCUGGUGUAUUUUGAUGGAGCUUACUAAGCUUUGUGCCUACAACUUUCAAUUUAUUAUUCAGGUACUUCUAGCUCAAAAGGGAAUGACUCAGCUUAAUCGCAACACAUCCGCCCAUCACACCACUCUAACUUCUUACUGUAUCUAAACUCAUUAAAAAUGAAGAUUUUUUUAUUAGAUUUAAAUAAAUAAUAAAUGGGGAUUUGCUUAUAAAAGCUACAAGUUAUCAAAGUCUUGCAAUGAGUUAAAACACACAAUGAUUAAAAUGGGAAUAAUAAUUGUAAGAACAAAUCAACAUUAGAUCAACCAAUUAGCUCUCGUUUUAACUAAACUAUUCAAGAAAUUAUGCAACCAUAAAGUUAUUAGAUUGAAUCUAAUUAAACCAUGAAGUAAUGAACAUAUUUAAAUCGAAAAUCGAUAUGAUAAUACUCUUGUUGAAGAUUAGAUGUUUGUGUCUAUCUAGUUAACCCUUACAAACAAAUUUACACAAGAAAUAUAGAAACAAAGGAGAACCGUACAAGCAAAGCCACAAAAAAAUUCUACAAACAAAGCAGGAUACCCUACAAAUAAAGCCACACAACAAAUACAAAAUGGACAAAAAAAUUAAAAGCAAAACCCUGCAUAAAGAACCCAUGACAAGAAUUCAGAAGCAAAAUCCUACAAUCAAAGUUAUAUAAGAGUUCCAAAGUAGAACCCUAAAGCAAAGUCACACAAUAAUAAACCCAACAAAUACUUUCGUUGAUUCAAAUAUAUUUCUUAAAUUACUAAAAAGGUAUUUAAAUUUCCCAUGUUUAUUUUAACUUUAAUUUUUCAACAAUCAACUAUUUUAUUCAAAUAUAUUUGUUAUAUUACUAAAAGAGUAUUAAAAUGUAAAAAUGACAUUUUUUCAUUAUUUUGUAAUAGAAGGUAAACUAAAAUAAACAUCCAUUUUUUGUUUAUGCAUAUCAAAAUAUAUUUUUUGGAUACUAGCAGAUGAAUACAUGUAUUCUCAAAUGAAUCUAAGAUGUCAUGUAUUGGUGGUAACAGUCAAAUGAAUCUAAGAUGUCAUGUAUUGGUGGUAACAGUCAAAUCUAAGAUGUCAUGCAUAUCAAAAUAUAUUUUUUGGAUACUAGCAGAUGAAUACAUGUAUUCUCAAAUGAAUCUAAGAUGUCAUGUAUUAGUAGUUGGGACCGACAACUAGCAAAUUAUCAAUGUAAAAAUGUUUAAUUACGCAUACUAAAUUUUUAUAUUGGUGGUAACAGUCAAAUCUAAAAAUACCCUAGCUGACUUUUUACGUCAUGAAAACUCAUUAAAAAUGAAUAUUUUCAAUAGAUUUAAAUAAAUAAUAAAUGGGAGGUUGCUUAUAAAAGCAACAAAUUAUAAAACAAAUUAUAUAUAUAUAUAUAUGGGUGAAACUCACUAAGCUUUGGAUUACAGUUGUUGAUUUUAUGGUUUCAGGUACAUCAGAUAAUCGGGGCAAGACAAAGACGCAAUUGUACAGAUCAUCUCAUAUAAUAGUUCACUACACCAUAGCAACAUCUUAUACAUAAGGAUACAUAACACAAUCUAAUGAGUCAAGGGUAAUCAGUCUGAUGACACAGUUUUUACUUCUUAAAAAUCAAAAAAUUCCUAUGAUUUUUGAGAUGUUACAUAGAACCCUUUAAAUAAAGCCACACAAGAACCAAACAAAGAAAAAGCUUACAAACAAAGCCACACAAUAACUCUACAUAAAAAGAAAAUCCUUACAAACAAAGCCACAAGGUUACUCUAUAUAAAAAGUAAAUCCCUACAAACAAAGCCACACAAGAAAAUGUAAACAAAGCAUAACCUUAUAAUUAAAAUCCACAAGAACCCUUCAAACAAAGCAUAACCAAUGAAUAAAGCCACACAAGAAAUAGAGCAUAGACUUCAAAGUAAAACCCCACAAACUAAACCCAAGACAUGAAUUCCAAAGCAGAAUCUUACAAACAAAGCCACAUAAGAACCAAAGUAGAACCCCAGAAAGAAAGUAAAAUCAACAAACAAAGUCAAACAAGAAAUUCAAAGUAAAACCCUACAAACUAACUAUGACAUUAAUACCAAAGCAGAAUCGUACAAACAAAGCCACACAAGAAACAAAGUGGACAAACAGAACCACACAAGAACUCACUACAAACAAAGUAGAACCUUAUAAACAAAACUACUCUACGAACAAAGUAGAACCUUACAAACAAAAUAGAACCCUACAAACAAAGCCAUACUAAAUAUAAAUAAAGAUCCAUAAAAACAAAGCCAUAUAAGAACUCUAAAAACAAAGCACAACUUUACAAAAAAAGUACAACCCUACAAACCAACCAAAACCGGUACAACCAAUGUAGAAUCCUACUAACAAGACCACACAAGAAAGGGACACAAAUUCAAAAAUAGAACCCUACAAAUUGAACUAAAGACAUGAAUUAGAAUGCAAAAUCCUACAAACAAAACCACAUAAGAACUUUCUACAAAAAAAGUAGAACCUUAUAAACAAAGCUACUCUACUAACAAAGAGAAACCCUGCAAACAAACCCACAAAAAAACUCUACAGAUAAAGUAGAACCCUACAAACAAAGCAAAUUGACAUACAAAACCACAUAAGAAAAGGGACAGGAAUUCAAAAGUAGAACAUAAAGAAAAUUGAAAUGUUGUAAAUAAAACUGAAAAUGCGAUGCAUAACCUCAUAUACUUUUCAAAGUUGUAGUAGAAAGAAACAUACUAAAACUGCAAUGCUAAAAUGAGGUUGAUUUUUCAACAUGAUAUAUGCUUAAAAUAAGAAAAGUGAAAGUACAAAGCUAUGACUAACAGAUUUUUUAAAGUAAAAUGACUUGAUAAUGAAAUUUUUUGAAUGUUUUAAUGUAGUAACAUAAAGAAAAAAGCAAUGCUAUAAAUGAGUUGAGUUUUCAAGGAGAAAUGUUCUUAUAAGAAAAAAACUGUAAAUACAAUGCUAUAAUUGUUAGAUUUUUCAAAGUAAAUUGCCUUGAUAAUAAAUUUUUUUUUGAUAGAUUAAAGAAAAAUAACUUGAUAAGAUUUUAAAAAAAAAGUUGCAAUGUUGUAACUAAAAGAAAACAACUGGGUUGAUUUUUCAAAGUAAAACGCCUUUAUAAAAAGAUUUGAUAAGACUUUUUAGACUUAUAAUUGGUAGAUUUUUCUAAGUAAAAGGUUGUAAUGAUGGAUUGUUCAAAAAGAUAAAGUGCUUUUAUGAGCAAAACUACAUGGUAAAUUUUCUAAAGUAAAAUGCCUUGUUAAAAUAAAAUAUGAAAGUAAUAAUGUUGAAAAAAACGAAUACUGCAAAAUGCAAAGCUAUAAAUGGGUUGACUUUUGAAAGAUAAAUGUGCUUAUUAUAAAGAAAACUGAAAGUACAAUGCUAUAGAGAGUAGGUUUUCCAAAGUAAAAUGGUUUGAUAUAAAAAAUGAUAAAAUUUUCAAGGUAAAAUGCUUCGAAAGAAAAAAAAAAAAGAUUUUUCAAAAUAAAAUCUCUAGAUACGAAAUAUUUUCAAUGAAUUUUUGAAAAUAACAUGUGUUUUUAUUAAGAAAACAGAAUGUCCAAAACUAUAAUUAAUAAAGUUUUCAACAUAAAAUGUCUAAAUAAGUAAAAAAUGUAAAAAUUUUUGUAAAAAAUGUCUUGAUAAAAAAUUAUCCGAAAGUAAAAAUGUUUUAUUAGAAAAAAAAAACUAAAAAAAGCAAUGCUUUAAUUGGAAUGAUAUUUAAAAAGAAAUGUGUUUUAAUUAAGAAAAUGGAAUUUCUCAAAGUAAAAUGCCUAAAUAAGUAAAAAUGUAGAGAUUUUUGUAAAAAAAUGUCUUGAUAAAAAAAAUAUCUGAAAGCAAACAUUAUUUUUUAGAAAAAAAAAUUAAAAAAAUGAAAUGCUUUAUAUGGAAUGAUUUUUCAAAAAAUGUGCUAUUAUUAAUAAAACAGAAAGUACAAUGCUACCAUUGGUAAAUCUUUCACAGCAAAAUGCCUAGAUAAAUAAAAAAUGUCUUGAUAAAAAAAAUAUCUGCAAGUAAACAUGUUUUAUUAGAAAAAACUAAAAAAAUGCAAUGCUUUAAUUGGGAUGAAUUUUCAAAAGAAAUGUGUUUUUAAAAAGAAAAUUGAAUGAACAAUGCUCUAAAUUGUAAAAUUUUCAAAGUAAAAUGCCUAGAUAAGUGAAAAUUGUAAAGAUAUUUUAAAAACAUGUCUUCAUAAAAGAAUAUUUGAAAGUAAAAUAGGAGUAAUUGAAAAAAAUAAACUUAAAAAAUGUAAUGCUUUAAUUGGGAGGAUUUUCUAAGGGAAAUGUGCUUUUGGAAAGAGAGUUGAAAGUAAGAUACAAUACUUGGUAAAUUUUUCAAAGUAAAAUGCCAGUAAAAGACGUAAAGUACAAUGCUGAAAUUUGUAAAAAAAAAAAUUCAAAGUAAAAGACCUUAAUAAGUAAAACACAUAAAGACUUUUUAAAAUGUCUUGAUAAAAAAAAUUGAAAGUAACAUUAUUGUAAGAAGAAAAAAAAAGUGCAAAGCUUUGAUUAGGAUAAUUUUUCAAAGGUAAAGUAUGCCUUUAAUAAGAAAUCUUAUUACAAUGCUAUAACUGUUAAAAAUUUCAACGUAAAACGCCUAGAGAAGAAAAUAAUGUAAGAACUUUUUAACAAAAUGUCUUGAUAUGAAAAUAUUUGAAAGUCACAACGUUGUAAAGAAGAAAAAAAACUAAAAAAGUACAAAGCUUUUAAUUGCGAUGAUUUUUCAAAGGAAAAUGUGAUUUUAAUAUGAAAAUUUGAAGUAACAUUGUUGUUACAGAAAAGGUCCAAAAAGUGCAAUGUCAUAAUUGAGUUGAUCUUUAAAAAUAAAAUGCUUUGUAUAUAAAAAAAAACAACAACAAAAUCUAAAAUGCAUAGAUAUGAAAUGCUAGUCAUUGUAAACUACCAUAGAAAAACAAGAAUCAAGAAGACAAUAAAAUAUAAAGAUGUUUGGUAGAGCAUACCCGGAAUAAGACUUGAAAGUAUUUGUUUGCUAUCUCUGAGUAAACUUAUAUUGUCAAUGAAAUUAUUCAAAUUAAAAAAGAUUGAAAACAGCAGAACAUACCUAGCACUGAAAAAGAAUGCCCAGACCUCAACUUAAGUGUCAAAAGCCUUCAGUUUCACCUUCAAAUUGGUGCCUGUUAUACAGAAUCAAAAAACAAAUAACAAAAGAUUAACUUCACCUUAAAAAAGCAUACAAUUUUCUUCCAGCUCUUGUAAACGGAUUGAAUUUUGGUAAAAACAAAAGGAAUGGUAAUUACUCACAUAUAAAAUUAUGGGUAAUUUGCAGUUAAAUAGCAAUGUACUUUACUGUUUUAAAAAACAAUAUGCAUAAAAAAAUGAAGUACAAUGCCUAUUGAUGAAAAAUGAGUAUAGCAUGUAGUUUACCUCACAAUCAGUUUCAAUGAUGCUUAUUGCAUUUGAAGGCUUUGAUUCAAUUAUAUCAAUGUAGAAUUUACUGUUGUUAACAAACAGGACAAGGUUCUCAGUGUGGUCUCCAAUCUGCAUUGAAAUUAGGAAUGGAAUCUAUUAAUGAAAAUAAGAAAUUCAGGGAAUCGGAAUUGUAAUCUGUCACAUUUUUGGUUUCCUAUUAUUCUUCAAGUUAGGGUUGCAAAUAGGAGGGAAUGGAGGCUUAAAAUUUGGGAUUGGAGUGGGGUAGUAAUGUAGUAUAGGUAUUAGUUACUUAGUUUAUACUUUUCAGAUUCUAAGUUCAGUACUUAUCUACUCAUUUAUCCCACUUUUUACUUAGUCAUUCCAUUCCAACAAAAAUGAAGCACUCCAAAAGAGAAUUAUGGUAGCUUUAGAACCCAAUCCUGAUAUUUCUCAAACUCAAGAUUGUUUGACAAAGUCCACCAUUUGUUUGUUUGACAUCAAAACUCAAGAAUGCAAACAGAACACCAAAAAGUGAACAAAACUAGGUAACAACAAGAACAUGACAACUUACCAUAUUUACUCUUCUGGUGAGACCAAUCCUGCAACCUAUAUGAAAAACAAAAUCAAUAAGUAGAACAACACGCAUAAAGGAUUUUUUUUUAAAAGUAACAGAUGCACACUGAAAAACCAUAAAUUCAAAAUCGAAAUUGUUAGUUAUAUUUAGUGAUCCGUUUUUCACACUAAACCAAAGUGCAUAGGUGAAAUCGGAGUAAUCAGAUUCAGAUUCCAAGAUUAUCCACACCUUAAUAUCAUAUGAUUAACUAAAAAAAUCAAGGGAAAAACAAUUAACAUUUUCUUAAUUUCAAGAAAACAAAAGUGGAUGCUAGAGAAAAAGUUGUAUUGGCUUUUAAUAUAAAAACUACCUACCACCUUUUACAAAACAACAUGCAUAAAACACACCAUAUACAAAUGAUUUGAUGAAAAUUAGUAACAAAUAAAUAAAUAAUUUCUAACUACAUAGCAGUAUAAAAUGAGGCAAAUGAAAAAAUAGAUACAUACUACAGAUAAUCAUGUGGCUACAAGAAAUUUAAACAAAAAAAUAGUAACAGUGGCAUAAAUGUUUAAGAACAUAAAACUUAGUUAAAAUCAAAUCAGAUAAUUAACUCAUAAAAGAUAUUGAAACAACUAAACUAAAAAUAUUUACAAAAUAAAACAGGUAAAUACAUCAAUCAAAGCAAGUAAACAAAGUAACGGAUAUAAAGAAAGUAAGAAACAGGAAUGACAAACCUGCCCAUAUGCAAAUGUGGCUUCUGAACCUGAUUUUUCUAAAACAAUUAUUAUCAACAACUAAAAACAAUUAACCUUCAACAGAGCAUACACAAAUGUAAUCAAUAAAUUACAUUUCAAAACCUGUCAUAAGCAUAUAUAUGCUGUACAAUGCUUUUAUUGAUAGGUUUUCAAUGUAAAAUGUCCUGAUAAAAAAAAAUAUUUGAAUGUACUUAACACAAAGAAAAUGGAAUACUGCAUUGGGUUGACUUUACAAGAGAGAUGUGCUAGGAUUGGUAGACUUUUCCAAGUAAAAUGCCAAGAUAAGAAAAAAAUGUAAAGAUUUUUUAAAGUAAAAUGUCUUGAUAAGAAAUUUUUUCAAAGUAACAAUGUUGUAGUCGAAAAAAAAACUAAUAUGUGCAAUGUUAUAAUUGGGUUCAUUUUCAUAGUAAAAGACCUUGGUAAGAAAAUUUUGAAGCAGAAAGAAAACUGAAAAAUCAAAUGCUAUAAUUGGAUUAAACAUUCAAAGAAAAUGUGUUUAUUCAAAGAAAACUAAAAAUACAACGCUUUAAAUUGUAGCUUAUAAUAAGAAAAUUAAAAGAACAAUGCUAAAAAUUGUAGAUUUUUCAAACUAAAAUGCCAUGGUAAAAAACUUUUUGAUAUCUACAAUGUUGUAAUAAAAAGAAAUCCGAAAAGCAUAGUCCUGUAAUUAAUAGAUUUUUCAAAAUAAAAUGAUGUGGAAAAAAAUGCAAUGCUAUAAAUCGUAGAUUUUACAAAUAACAUGCCUUUAUUAGAAAAAAAUGAUGGAUUUUUCAAAGAAACAUGACAUUAUUAGAAAAAAAAAAGUUACAAUGCAAUAACAGAAAGAAAAUUGAAAAGUGCAAUGCUAUAAACAGGUUGAUUUUUCAAAGAUAAAUAUGCUUAUAAUAUUAAAACUGAAAAUGCAAUGCAAUAAUUCAUAUACUUUUCAAUGUUGUAGUAGAAAGAAACAUAUUGAAACUGCAAUGCUAAAAUGGGGUUGAUUUUUCAACAUGAUAUGUGCUUAAAAUAAGAAAAGUGAAAGUACAAUGCUAUGACUAACAGAUUUUCAAAGUAAAAUGAAUUGAUCAUGAAAUUUUUUGAAUGUUUUAAUGUAGUAACAUAAAGAAAAAAGCAAUGCUAUAAAUGAGUUGAGUUUUCAAGGGGAAAUGUUCUUAUAAGAAAAAACUGUAAAUACAAUGCUAUAAUUGUUAGAUUUUUCAAAGUAAAAUGCAUUGAUAAUAAAAGAAUUUUAUAGAUUAAAGUAAAAUGACUUGAUAAGAUUAAAAAAACAAUUAAAAAAAAAAGUUGUAAUGUUGUAGCUAAAAUAAAACAAUUGGGUUUCAAGUAAAAAGAUUUGAUAAGACUUUUUAAACUUAUAACUGAUAGACUUUUCAAAGUAAAAAGUUGUAAUGAUGGAUUGUUCAAAAAAAUAAAGUGCUUUGAUGAGCAAAAAACCAGGAUAAAUUUUCUAAAGUAAAAUGCCUUGAUAAGAAAAAAGUUGAUAGACCUUUUAGACUUGAUAAUUUAAAAUAUGAAAGUAAUAAUGUUGAACAAAAAGAAUACUGCAAAAUGCAAAGCUAUAAAUGGGUUGACUUUUGAAAGAUAAAUGUGCUUAUAUAAAGAAAACUGGAAGUACAAUGCUAUAGAGGGUAGGUUUUCCAAAGUAAAAUGGUUUGAUAUAAAAAAUGAUAAAUUUUUCAAGGUAAAAUGCUUUGAAAGAAAAAAAAUAGAUUCUUCAAAAUAAAAUCUAUAGAUACGAAAAUUUUUCAAUGGAUUUUUCAAAAUAGCAUGCCUUGAAAUGAAAAUAAUAAUUAUUUUUUCAAACUAAAAAAAUGGGAUAGAUUUUUACAAGUAAAGUGACUUGAUACGAUAAAAUGCAUUGAUAGCAAAAAAGUGCAAUAAUAAAAAUGGAAAUUUUUUAAAAUAAAAUGCGCUAAUAAGAAAAAAAUUUUGGAAGUUACAAUGCUAUAUAGUGCAAAGAUUUAGUUUGUAUAACUUUUCCAAGAGAAAUGAGCACUUAAUAAGAAAACAGAAAGUAUAAUGCUAUAAUUGGUAAGAUUUUAAAAGUAUAAUGCCUAGAUAAGUAAAAACUGUAAAAAAUAUUUAAUAAAAUGUCUUGAUAAAAGAAUAUUUGAAAGUAAAAAUAUUGUAAUAAAAAAAAUCUUAAAAAGUGCAAUGCAAUUGGGAUGAUAUUUCAAAUGGAAAUGUGCUUUUAAUAAUAUAACUCAAAGUACAAUGCUAUAAUUCUUACAAAGGAAAAUCUGUUUUUAAUAAUAAAACUAAAGCUACAAAGCUAUAACUGGUAAAUAGCUAAAAGUAGAAGGCUUAGAUAUGUAAAAAAUGUAAAGUUUUUUUUUUAAAAAAAAACUGUUUUAAUAAAAGAAUAUUUGAUAUUAAAAUGUUAUAAAAAAAUUAAAAAAGUGAAAAGUUAUAAUUGGGACGUAUUUAAAUAGAAAAUGUGCAUUAUCAAGAAAAAAGAAAGUACAAGACUAUAAUUGAUAAAAUUUUCAAAAAAAAAAAAUGUCUGAUAUAUAAACAUUUAAAGAUUUUUUAAUAAAAUGUGCAAAACUUUAUUGGAAUAAUAAAAAAAAAUUUAAAAAAAAGCAAUGCUUUGACUGGGAUAAUUUUUCAAAAGAACAGUGCUUUUAAUAAGAAACCUGAAAGUACAAUGCUAUAAUUGCUAAAUUUUUCAAAGUAAAAUGCCUAAAGAAGUAAAAAAUGUAAAGAAUUUUGUAAAACAUGUCCUUAAAAAAAAAUAAUUGCAAUGCUAUAAUUGCUAAAAAAUUUGAAGUAAAAUGCCUAAAUGGUUUAAAAAUGUAAAGAUUUUUGUAAAAAAAUCUUGAUAAAAGAUUAUUUGAAAGUAAAAAUGUUAUAAUAAUAAUUAUAAUAAAUUAAAAAAAAAACUAAAAAAAAAACUAAAAAAAUGCAAUGCUUUUAUGGAGAUGAUUUUUCAAAAAGAAAGAUACCAAGAUAAAUAAAAAUAUGUAAAGAUUUUCUACAAUACUAUAAGUGUUAAAUUUCUCAAAAAAAAGAUACCUAGAUAAAUAAAAAUAUGUAAAGAUUUUCUACAAUGCUAUAAGUGUAAAAUGUAUCAAAAGAAAGAUACCUAGAUAAAUAAAAAUAUGUAAAGAUUUUUAUAAAAAAAUGUUUUAAUAAAUGAAGAUUUGUAAGUAAAAAUGAUGUGAUAGUAAAAAAAACAGAAUGCUUUAAUUGGGAUAAGUUUUCAAAAGAAUGCUUUUAAUAAGAAACUCGAAAGUACAAUGCUAUAAUUGCUAAAAAAUUUAAAGUAAAAUAUCUUAAGAAGUUAAAAAAGUGAAGAUUUUUGUAAAAAAAAUCCAUAUUAAAGAAUAUUUGAUAGUAAAAAUGUUGUGAUAUUAAAUGUAAAGAUUUUUGAAAAAAAUGCCUAGAUAAGUAAAAAAAAUGUAAAUAUUUAUAUAAAAAAUGUCUUGAUAAAAGAAUAUGUUGAAAGUAAAAAUGCUGUAAUACGAAAAAAUAACUAAAAAAAUGCAAAGCUUUAAUUGGGAUGAUUUUUUUCAAAUGAAAUGUGAUUUUAGUAAAAAAAAAAUGAAAAUACAGCGCUAUAAUUGGUAAUUUUUCAAAGUAAGAUGCCUAGAAAAGUAGGAAAUAUAAAGAAUUUUGUAAAAAAUGUCUUGAAAAAGAAUAUUUGCAAGUAAAAAUGAUGUAAUAAUAAUAAAUAAAUAAAUAAAUCCAAUGCUUUAAUUGGGAUGAGUUUUCAACCGAAAUGUGCUUUUAAUUACAAAAUUGAAAGUACAAUACUUUACUUGGUAAAGUUUUCAAAGUAAAAUACCUUAUGAAGUUAAAAUGUGAACAUUUUUGUAAAACAAUUCUUGAUAAAAGAAUAUUUGAUAGUAAAAAUGUUGUAAUAAUAAAUGCAAAGAUUUUUGUAAAAAAUGCCUAGAUAAGUAAAAAAUGUAAAGACUUAUAUAAAAAUGUUUUGAUAAAAUAAUAUUUGAAAGUAAAAAUGUUGUAAUAGAAAAAAAAAAAAAAAAAAAAAAACUAAAAAAACUAAAAAAACGCAAUACUUUAAUUGGGAUGAAUUUUUCAAACGAAAUGUGCUUUUAAUAAGAAAAUUAAAAAUACAGUGUUAUAAUUGGUAAAAUUUUCAAAGUAAAAUGCCUAGACAAGUAAAAAUGUCUUGAUAAAAGAGUAUGUGAAAGUAAAAAUGUUGUAAUAGUAAAAAAAAUUUGCAAUGCUUUAAGUAGCAUGAUUUUCAAAGUAAAAUGCCUGAAAAAUGUUUUAUUUUUGUAAAAAAUGUUCUAAUAAAAGAAUAUUUGCAAGUAAAAAUGAUGAAAGAAUAAAAAAUAAAUAAACUAAAAAAAUGCAAUUUUAAGUUGGAUGAUUUUGUAAAAAAUGUUCUAAUAAAAGAAUAUUUGCAAGUAAAAAUGAUGAAAGAAUAAAAAAAUAAAAAAUAAAAUGAAAAAUGAAAAAUAAAAAAUGCAAUGCCUAAAAAAAUGUUUAAUUUUUGUAAAAAAAAUAUUCUGAUAAUAGAAUAUUUGCAAGUAAAAAUGAUGAAAGAAUUAAAAAAAUGCAAUGCUUUAAGUAGGAUGAUUUUAUAAAAGAUAUGUGCUUUUAAUAAAAAAAAAAAAAAAAAAAAAAAAAAAAAAAAAAAAAAAAAAAAACUAAAAAUAAUAAAAUUUUUANCUAAAAGUACAAAGCUAUAAUUAAUAAGAUUUUCAAAGUAAAAUGCCUAAAAAAUGUUUGAUUUUUGUAAAAAAAUGUUCUAAAAAAGAAUAUUUGCAUGUAAAAAUGAUGAAAGAGUAAAAAAAACUAAAAAAAUGCAAUGCUUUAGCUGAGAUACUUUUUCAAAAAAAAUGUGUUUUAAUAAGAAAAAUUUAGUGUAUAAUGCUAUAAUCGAGAACAGUUUUUUUAAAAAAAAAGAUGCCUAGAUAAAUAAAUAAAAAUGUAAAGAUUUUUGUAAAUAUUUUCUUUGAUAAAUGCAAAUAAAAAUAAUGUAAUACUAAAAAAACUAAAAAACCUUCAAGGCUUUAAUUUGGAUGAUUUUUCAAACAUAAUGUGCUUUUAAUAAGCAAAUUAAAAGUGCAAUGCUAUAAUUGGUAAAUUUUUCUAAGUAAAAUGCUUACAUAAGUAAAAAAAAAAAAAAAAAAAGCAAAGAUUUUUGUAAAAAAUGUCUUGAAAAAUGAAUAUUUGUAAGUAAAAAUGAUGUAAUAGUUAAAAAACUAAAAAAAUGCAAUAAGAAAAUUGUACAAUGCUGUAAUUGGUAAAAUUUUCAAAGUAAAAUGCCUAGAUAAGUGAAACAUGUCUUCAUAAAAGAAUAUUUGAAAGUAAAAAUGGUGUAACAAAAAAAUAAACUAAAAAAAUUGUGUAAUACUUGGUAAAUUUUUCAAAGUAAAAUGCCUAGAUAAGUAAAAGAUGUAAAGACUUUUUAAUAAAAUGUCUUGAUAAAAUAAUCUUUGAAAUUAAAAUUGUUUUAAUAGGAAAAAAAAACUAAACAAAUUCAAUGUUAUAUUUGGGAUUAUUUUUCAAAAAAAAAUAUGCUUUUAAAAAGAAAGCUGAAAGUACAAUGCUAUAAUUGGUAAAAAAAAUUAAUUUAAAAUGCAUAGGUGUAAAACAUUUAUAAAUUUUAUAAUAAAAUAUCUUGAUCAAAAUUUUUGAAAGUAACUAUGUUUCUGAAAAGGUGCAAAGCUUUGAUUGGAAUGAUUUUUCAAAGUAAAUGUGCUUUUAAUAAGAAAAGUUAAAGUACAAUGCAAUAAUUGAUAAAAUUUUCAAAGUAAAAUGCUUACAUAAGCGAAAACUGUAAAGAUUUUUGUAAAAAAAUGUCUUGAUAAAGGAAUAAUUGUAAGUUAAAAUGUUGAAAUAGUAAAAAAAACUAAAAAAUGCAAUGCUUUAAUUGGGAUAUUUUUCAAAAGAAAUGUGCUUUUAAUAAAAACAAUGAAAGUACGGUGCUACAUUUGGUAAUUUUUUCAAAGUAAAAUGCCUAGAUAAGUAAAAAUGGACAUAUUUUUGAAAACAAUUUCUUAUAAAAGAUAUUUGAAAGUAAAAAAGUUGUAAUAGUAACAAUGUUGUAAAAGAAAAAAAAAACCUAAAGAACUGCACAGCUUUAAAUGGGAUAUUUAUUUUAAGGAAAAUGUACUUUUAAUAAGAAAACUUAGUACAAUGCUAUAGUUGUUAAAAAUUUCAAAGUAAAAUGCCUAGAAAAGAAAAUAAUGUAAGAACUUUUUAACAAAAUGUCUUGAUAUGAAAAUAUUUGAAAGUAACAAUGUUGUAAAGGAAAAAAAAGGUACAAAGGUUUUAAUUGCGAUGAUUAUCAAAGGGAAAUGUGAUUUUAAUAAGAAAUUUGAAAGUAACAUUGUUGUUACAGAAAAGAACUAAAAAAAGUGCAAUGUCAUAAUUGACUUGAUUUUUAAAGAGAAAAUGCUUUUUUAUAAAAAAAACAGAAUCUAAAAUGCAUAGAUAUGAAAUGCUGAUGAAUGUAAACUAUCAUACAAAAACAAGAAUGAAGAAGACACAAGAAAAUAUAAAGAUGUUUAGUAUAAUUUAAGAAAAUACCUGGAAUAAGACCUGAAAGUAUUUUGGUAUCUCUCAGUAAACUUGGAGCAUAAGGAAGUUUCAGUAUCUCCACCAUAACUGACAAGAACUGAGAACACACAACAAAAUAUACAAAAUUUUAGUAUCACUCUCAAUUGUAUCUUACAAUGUCAAUAUUGAGUUUAUUCAAAUUGGAAAAGAGUGAAAACAGUAGAACAUACGCAUCACUAAAAAAGAAUGCUCGAAUCUCAACUUAAAUGUCAAAAGCCUUGGAGUUUCAUAUUCAAAUAAUUGGUGCCUGUUAUACAGAAAAAAAAUUUAACAAAAGAUUAACUUAACCCUAAAAGAGGUAGGUUUUCAAGAUCACAAACAUUGGUAUUGUUAAAUGCUGGCAACACAAAGUUCAGUAAGAAACCUUUAAUUUCAUUUUCAAAUAAUUGGUGUCUGAUUCUAGGGUUUUUUUCAGAUUUUUUGUUUAGUUUUCCAUAAAAAACAGGACACUUCAACACACAAAUACCCUAAUAUUAAAUGGUAAGAGUUAACUAUAAGCAUGUUGCCAUUAUGGGAAAAAGUACAUAAGUACAUUGCUAUUAUGCGUAAAAAAUGAAGUACAACACCUACCUUGAUAAAAAUAAAAUAAAAUAAAAUAAAAAGUAUAGCAUGUUGCUUCCUACAUCUUUCCCUAAAAUCAUCAGAUAACAUAAGAUCAAAAAUAUAAAACUGCUUGUAAUCAAAAGGAGGAGCAAAAUCUACCUCACAAUCAGUUUCAAUGGUACUUAUUGGAUUUGAAGGCUUUGAUUCAAUUAUAUCAAUGUAGUAUUUCUUGUUGUAUUAUCCCACAAUGAUGCUAACAACAGGACAAAGUGUUGUGUCUAAUCUGCAUUGAAAACAAGAAAAUAUUAGGGGCGUUUUGGUCUGUUUUUUGAAGAAUGGAAUCUGUCAAUGAAAAUAAGAAAUUCAGGGAAUCGGAAUUGUAAUCUGUCAUGUUUUCGGUUUCGUAUUAUUCUUCAAUUUAGGGUUGCAAAUAGGAGGGAAUGUAGGCUUAAAUUUGGGAUUGUAGUUACUUAGUUUAUCUUUUUUAGAUUCUAAGUUCAGUAAUUAUCUACUCAUUUAUCCAACUUUUUACUUUGUCAUUCCAUUCCAAUCCUGAUAUUUCUCAAACUCAAGAUUGUUUGACAAAGUCCACCAUUCGUUUGUUUGACAUCAAAACUCAAGAAUGCAAACAGAACACCAAAAAGUAAACAUAACCAGGAAACAACAAGAGCAUGAGAUCUCACCAUAUUUACUCUUCUGGCGACACCAAUGGUGAAAAACGAAAUCAAUAAGUAGAGCAACACGCAGAAAGAAUUUUUUUUUUAAAGAAUAGAUGCGCACUACAAAACCACAAAUUCAAAAUCGAAAUAGUUACUUAUUUUGGUGAUCGAUUUUUCACACUAAAUCAAAAUGCAUAGCUAAAAUCGGAGUAGAUCGAUUCAGAAUCUAAGAUUACGCACAGCUUAAUAUCAUAUGAUUAACUACAAAAUAAAUAAAUAAAUCAAGAAGGAAGAAACAGUGUUACCGAAUAAACAAGUGUGAAGAGAUUCGAAUUUUUGCAGGAGAUUUGGAGAGCGGAAAGGCUUGGGGAAAGAGAAAUUGUGGUUGGAGUUUGAUAGAAAUAGGGUUUGGGGGGAAGACAUAAAGGCAAAAAAAAUAUACGUCGGGGUCGUAGUGUGGAUGACACAUUUCCUAAAUCAAAACCAGAAGAAUUUCGUGAAUUGAUUAUAUCGUUUCUAUUAAUUUGGUUUAGAGAAAGGAAUACCUGAAGAAAAAAUUGAGAGCAUCGAGAACGCUUGCUCUCCGACAUCAUCGUCUGUUCCACUGUCGCCAAUUUCUAGAGAUUAGUUAUGUUUUGGAGGUGGCAUUGUUUAUUGGAACCGGAGAAAACGACUAAAAUCAAGUGUUAUUCUCGGAACCCAAGAACCUACAAAGGAAAUCAACAUAUAGUGUGUUUAAAACCUAUAGAAACGCCAAAAAGACGAAGAGCAUACCAACAACAAACACCUGAGGAAAACGAUUAAAGGAGUUCAUGAAAACAAAGGGGAAGAAGAAUAUGAAGAGU